UACGGAGGGUGCAAGCGUUAUCCGGAAUCACUGGGCUUAAAGGGUGCGUAGGCGGGUUAUUAAGUCAGUGGUGAAAGCUGGUCGCUUAACGAUCAAACUGCCAUUGAUACUGAUAGUCUUGAAUUGGGUUGAGGUUAGCGGAAUGUGACAUGUAGCGGUGAAAUGCGUAGAUAUGUCAUGGAACACCAAUUGCGAAGGCAGCUAGCUAGGCCUUGAUUGACGCUGAGGCACGAAAGCGUGGGUAGCGAACAGG
rnacentral:rRNA from 1 species